AGGAGGGCAUAGCUUUCCUCUUCCUUGGAAUUUUGUAUCCUGUUCUGGGGAAAAUGGCAAGCUGAAAUUAAUCCACAGGAGAGCUAUCAUGAUCGUGGAGUCUGAGAACCAUGAAAGAUGUCUGAACACCUGCAACCGAUGAAAACCCAAAACUAAGAUUCGGAGAGACCUGUAAGCAGUGGUCACAUAUUUGAAGUGCUGACCUGGAAAGAAAGGAUUACACUUUUUAUUGCAUGCAAUUCUGGAAGGCAGAGAAAGGACCAAUGCGUAUAAAUUACAAAGAGACCCCUGAGAACUCCAUAUCGUGGUGUUCAGUGAUUGUGUAAAGUCCAAUCACCAAACUCUUCCAGGAGAGAGAAUGUGACUCAGUGCUAUCCCAGUGUGUAAUGAAGCUUCACCAAACUGGGUCAAGAGCAUUUAAAGCAAGUGUCAAGGAUCAUAUUUACAGGCUCAGAAGAAUCACAAAGACCAUGUGCAACAUACCCAUAGUUGGAUCAAAAUAGAAGAGUAAUGGCUUGUGAGGAAGUAAGUCACUUCUUAUGGAGGUUAUCCUAAUGCAAGGAAUAAAAAAGAAAGCAAUCGAUCUGG